GUAGGGAAGAAAUAAUGUGUCCUGACCCAUAAAGCUGACAGUUGCAAAGAUGUACACAGUGAUAGGAAUUUGCACACAAAACUGCCCGGAGUGAUUUAAUUGGACAAACACGUACAGGAGCAAGAGGGAUGUUUUGCUCUUGACAAAAGGGCUGAUAACGACAGAGCAGCCUGGUGUCAGCGCUGCCAGUGGAAGCUGUUACUGGCCUCAAAAAAUGCAGAGAAAGUCAAUCCUUGCAGCAACACCACUGCACAGAGGGAUAAUCACUUCUCUGUUGACACGCUGAUAAAACUUCAUGCAUGGCUUCUCACUUUGUGAGGAGCAGCCAGCCUGAAAGAAUGACAUCUCUCCUCAUUAUUGUGGAGAACAUAUGGGAGCCCACACAGCUGCCAGACAUGGGGGCUGGAACAGGCUGGCCUUCGGUGAGAUCUCGAGCUGCUCACAAGGUCACAGCCGGAGCUGAGCGCACAAAGCUCCAGCGCUCACUGUAGCACUGGACGUAUCGUAACGGGUCUUUAAUCACACCCGGCGCUUAAGACGUUCUCAAUCACUUACAUUUCUGCGAGGCUGCCUGCUUUAUUUUCAGGGUCAUGAUCGGCUGCAGCUCCCGGCACAGAAACCACUGACAGUCACUGAGUGUUUGCUGCUUAAUGGAUUUGAACAGUGUCAGCAAAAGCACACAGACCCAGUGACAGACAUGCAAAUUCCAAACUCACUCAUCUGGAAAUGAUUAUGUAUUUGCGUAUAAAUAAAUAAGUAAGUUAAAAAAAACUCAACAUUUUUAAUAUUAGCAUUUCAAUGCACAUUUCUAGAAACCAACUCUAGAUGGCACUGGAGGCCCAACGGACUGGUUGAUGUGUGGGGAGCAUGUUUACGCAGGCAUAUCUGCAUCUGUGCUCUACCUCCAGAUUCAAUUAUUCAUCAUUUCUUGCGCAAAUUUGCUUUGGCUUUUCUACCUGUCUUCAUUUUUCCUCUUUUCUUUUUCGCCUCUUCUCAGUUGUGUUCAUCAUUUGUUACGCCGGGGGUCACAAUGUUUGGACAGAAUAGAAACUCAUCAAGUCACUGCGUGGGUUUCAUCAUUGUACUGAUACAUUUUGGGUUAUUAUACUCUCUCUCUCUCUCUCUCUCUCUCUCUCACACACACACACACACUAGGUAAUCCUUACGUAAUGGUAAUCCAGAUUCUAAUUCUAACAUCUACACUAAGUCUUAAAUAUCAAAUCACCCAGUCACUCAUUUGACAUUUUCCCCGUCCCCGACAAGGACAGUCUGUCCACCACACACAUAUAAUUGCCUCUAAAGUAAGUCUACACAAGUAUAGCUGUAUCAGAGACACAUAAUGUGAAGAAGUGUGGACAUUGUCAUAAUGUCCUGUGGACAUGUUUAUAUUCUACAGUAUGUUUCUCCAGAUUUGAUUCAAUGGCUUUCAAUAUAUCAUGCAUGUGUUUCCUGAAUGCUCACAAUUCAUUAUGGUAUCUUUUAUGUGAGGGCCAUUUCUAAUGCAAAGAAUUACUCAUAAUGACAUAUUGACUUUGAAAACGCACUUUUUAUCUGAGUGACUCGGUAUCCAUGGUAAGCAGAUUUGUUGGUCACAGUGAACUGUCAAGCAUCUUCAGGGCAUAUAGGAUUUAUUAUUUUUUUGCUGUUCAGGUUUUCACAUAUCCAGGUCAUUUCAUGCUAAAAUGUCCAGAAGUAGGCAGCGAAGGGCUUUAGGGUACCUCUCUUCAGUACGUGUUGGCAACUUUUAAACAUCUUAGAAAAGUGAAAAAUGCUAUAUAUCGUUGUUUCCCAAAGACUGUGUUGUGACCCUCAGGUGGGUUGCAAGAGAUUUUUUUUUUUUGGGGGGGGGGUUAUCUCACAUAAUGGUUCCCAGGAGUUUGCGAAUAAUGUCUAUUGACUUGGGUUGUGAAGGUUUGUGACUUUUAAAAUACGGGUCCCCAGAAUAAAACGUUUGGAAAACACUGAAUAAGACCCUGCAACAGGCUGCCACACGGGAAGCGUUAUCUUGCAUUUUGUGUUUUAAUUGUGUUAUUGUACCAAGGACUGCAAGUACUGCACCAUCGUUAAAAGAUCAUUAAAUUUUCAAAAUAAAACAUCUUUUAGACUUUCUUAUGUUAGUAUCACAGUCUGAAUGACAGAUUAUCUUUAAAUGAUAAAAGUAAAGGGAUAUGACUGGAUUCUAUUUGAAUGAAGUAAAUGAGUAAAACUGAAGUACAUUUUUUCACUAUGUCCCACUUCGGCCUGAUACUAACCCCAGGUUGGGGACCCCUAGUUUGGGUGCUUUUGCAGUUUUUAGGUUGCUAUUGAAGUUUUGUAUAUAAAAAAACCCCAUCGUGAUCCCACUUAGAUCCAUGGAGAGAACACACACCUGAAAAACAUUGCUGUUGAUAAUGAACUCCUGGUACACACUCCCCUCAGUCGUUCAUGAAUACUCAGCAGAGCCCAUUAUAACCAAUAGAUCCAAUGAGUAUGUGUUUUUGCCAGAGUCUGUCGUAAAAGGAAAUUAAAUAUGUAUAUAACUGGAAAUGAUUAAUAUUUGGAUCACAGUGAAGAUGGCUCUCAUCCCAAAACUUAAAGAGUUGUUAGAUGAAAGCUGGGAUGCAAAUGUGUCCCAUCAUUGAACCCAACGAUGCAACAGCUGGGCUGCACCAUGUUUCCAUGAUUACUGAUUUGUAACCAUUCAAUUUGCACACCUCAGGUGAAACUGAGGACAUUUACUUUAGAAAAAAGUCUGUGAGUUUAUAAAAAUCCUCCACCCUACUUUUAACAGGUUUUCCACCACUAACCUCCAACUUUUUCAUUUUAUUUAUAUUUUGAAAUUCAGCAGGCUAAAGUGGCUCCUUUUAAAAAAGGCCGUUUGUUGGGAUUUAAAGACAAGCUGUUCCGAGACUUAUUAUAUUUUUUUCUGAAGUUUGAGUGUGAAACGUUAUUGUAUUGGAUUAUUUGGAACAGCAGGAGAAUGAUGUACCGCCUCAGAAACAGCUGGGUGCUGUUAUUUCUCUGAUUAACUAUGUCUGAUUUAGUCUGUCUUUGUUCACACAGGACACAAUCUUAGGUUUCAUAAAUUAUUUCAAAACCACACUGAAGGGUUUUUUGUGUUAAAUGACGAUGAUACGUGGAGAUUUAAAAUCUUUACCAAGACAUGUACAGAUUGACAGAUUGCAAUUGACCUUCAUCAAUGUGUCAUUCACAGAGCGGUUGGUCAUCAGGGUAUCACAGUUUGAGAACCACUGAUGUAUGGUAUAGAGCAGCUGGGUAAAUAAUGCUAUUAGGCCAGACACAGCCCUUUGGGCUUUCAAAUCUGGCCCGCCAAACACUGGUACAAGAUGUGAUAAAUACUUCUGUUUCAAGCAUUACAGCAAAUUCACAGUAAUUUCAGUUGCUAUAUUAUCUUUGAAAGUUUAGGUUUGUUCUUGUAGAUCUAAUUUAUAUUAUUAUUUUUUUGACUAAUUUUGGCUUGUGAGCCAAAAAGUUAGCCUACCCCUGGUUUUAGAGUCGGUGUCUUGUUUAAAAGAUAAAAGGCUGAGUUAAAGGUGGAGGAGAUAAAGAUGCUUUACUGGGAAUGCUGAGGAUGGACAGCAUUAGAAAUGAGCAGAUCAGAGGGACUGUUAAGAUGAAGCAGUUUGGAGAUAAUGUUUAAGAGGUUAGGUGGAGAUGGUUUGGACAUGUGUUGAGGAGAGAAAGUAGAUGUUGUGACAGAAGACAUGGAGAUAGUUGGACUAAAAAAAGAGGAGACAGGAGAUAGGGUGACAUGGAGGCAGAUAAAACAGAUCAAAAUGAGAAGAUGAAGAAAAAGAAAGAAAGUUGCAGUCUUUACUGACAUUAGCUAAAAAGACAGGGUAAGAUAUUAAAACAAUCUCCACAUUCGUAUUUAAAGACACUCGCCCUGAUUAGCGUUGGGCCAUGUGUAUAUUCAGACUGUGUAAAGAAGCCCGAACCCCUGACUCUUUUUAUGUUGCUGGUAGGAGCAGUGAUGGGUGUUUGCCGGUUCUAUAUAUUGAUUUUUCCACUUCUUUGUUGUGGAUAAUCAUUUGCUUGGUUUAACAGCAGUAGUUUUACCCUGGUUGAAGUCAGACGCCUCUCUGCAAGGCUGGAAAACAGAGGCUGUAGGUGUUUGUUUUUUUCUCGUAUCAUUAGCCUCAUCAUAUUUUUAAGGUAGCUCAUUUGUUCAUGGUAGUAAAGCCAGAAUAUUCCUCAGGUUUUUGUAGCUGCUAAGCAGGUGCUAUACCUCUGAAGAGAUACUGUGUUUAGUGUCUUUCUCUGUCACCACAACUUACCUUGAAGCAGCAGCAGCUGAACCAGUGCUGGGGAUUUUUUUUCCUUCUCAGUUCACUGACUGGUAGAAACAUGACCCUGUCAGAACCGUGGGGAGGGAACAGGGGAGUGACUAUGGCAACCAGCCAAGGACAUGUUGACUUUUUUUCUUUUUGGUCUUGCUGGUGUUGCUACAUGGAGGCUGGAGAUAAGAUAGGAGCAUGGAGGUUCGCCUAAGGGGUAGAUGAGAGACGGUUUGGGGUAGAGUUUAGUUUGAAAAGGAAGUGGGGGGAGACGGGAGGGGCAAAGGGAAGUGGCAAGAGAGUUAAGAGUGGGGAGUGAGGGGGAACUGAUGUGUGAAGAAAGAAAGAGCCAAACAAGCCUGGAGUUAUAGAUUUCAGAAAGGUAAGAUGAUGGAGAGAAAAGUCAGAGAACAGAAGCAGAGUUGUAAAGUGGAGAGGAAGAAGCCAGACUUUGGAGGAUGUUUAAUCUGUCUGCUCCUCUUAAGAACACGGGGGAAUUUUGUUUUUGCCUACUUUGUUGCAGGUGGGCUUUGAACGUUGUUAUGAUUUUGGAGUAGCACAGUGCCAUAAUUCACCUGUGUAACCUGAGGUACCAGAAAGGUUCUCAUUUCACAAUAUACAGAGUUGAAAUGUUCCAAGAAGGAUCUGAAAAGGUUGGAUUUUAAAUAAAUUGAUCCCAUAUUUGGGGAAUUUUUGAUCCAUUGGACGGGAACCGAACCCAGGCCUCCCAAGUGGCAGCUCCAUCUAUUGUGAAACCCCUGUAUAACCAACCAACCAACCGACCUAUGCCAGCUGCCAGGUGGCACCACAUCUAAUUCAUUGUAUGGCCAUCUGUCAUCUGUGGGAAUCGUCCUCAUUUCUGGAGACUGUGGCUCUAUGCUGUCAUUAUCUUAGUGAAAUAUGAUCAAGUGUCAGGGUUUCCGGAAACGGCAGUCGGCUCAGCAGAACGAGUGGAGAGUAAAUGAAAGAUUGCUCAGCUCAGGAACCCUGCAGGCUAAGAAUGUGUUGUGUGUAAUUUCCGUGUAUUAAAAUUAUUGAAGCUUUGCAACAGGUUGUAGUUGUGAUCCGGUGUGAAACACAUCCCUCAGGUAAUUUAGGGGAAGCAACAAAUUCUGUGAUGGAAACCUCACUUAAAGAAGAUGUUUAGGAUU